rnacentral:rRNA from 1 species
GACGAACGCUGGCGGCGUGCUUAACACAUGCAAGUCGAGCGGAAAACUUCGGUUUUCAGCGGCGGACGGGUGAGUAACACGUGGGCAACCUGCCUCACAAUGAGGGAUAGCCUUCCGAAAGGAAGAUUAAUACCUCAUAACACAAGAGAAACGCAUGUUUCUCUUGCCAAAGAAUUUCGUUGUGAGAUGGGCCCGCGGCGCAUUAGCUUUUUGGUGAGGGGACGGCUCACCAAGGCUUCGAUGCGUAGCCGACCUGAGAGGGUGAUCGGCCACAUUGGAACUGAGACACGGUCCAGACUCCUACGGGAGGCAGCAGUGGGGAAUAUUGCACAAUGGAGGAAACUCUGAUGCAGCAACGCCGCGUGAGUGAUGAAGGUCUUCGGAUUGUAAAACUCUGUCUUCUGGGACGAUAAUGACGGUACCGGAGGAGGAAGCCACGGCUAACUACGUGCCAGCAGCCGCCGUAA